rnacentral:rRNA from 1 species
ACUCCUGCGGGAGGCAGCAGUGGGGAAUUUUGGACAAUGGGCGCAAGCCUGAUCCAGCCAUGCCGCGUGCGGGAAGAAGGCCUUCGGGUUGUAAACCGCUUUUGUCAGGGAAGAAAAGGUUCUGGCUAAUACCUGGGACUCAUGACGGUACCUGAAGAAUAAGCACCGGCUAACUACGUGCCAGCAGCCGCGGUAAUACGUAGGGUGCAAGCGUUAAUCGGAAUUACUGGGCGUAAAGCGUGCGCAGGCGGUUAUGCAAGACAGAGGUGAAAUCCCCGGGCUCAACCUGGGAACUGCCUUUGUGACUGCAUGGCUAGAGUACGGUAGAGGGGGAUGGAAUUCCGCGUGUAGCAGUGAAAUGCGUAGAUAUGCGGAGGAACACCGAUGGCGAAGGCAAUCCCCUGGACCUGUACUGACGCUCAUGCACGAAAGCGUGGGGAGCAAACAGGAUUAGAUACCCGAGUAGUCCCAUGAU